rnacentral:rRNA from 1 species
CAAGGCCUUGCGCUCUUUGAGCGGCCGAUGUCAGAUUAGCUAGUUGGUGAGGUAAAGGCUUACCAAGGCGACGAUCUGUAGCGGGUCUGAGAGGAUGAUCCGCCACACUGGAACUGAGACACGGUCCAGACUCCUACGGGAGGCAGCAGUGGGGAAUUUUGGACAAUGGGGGCAACCCUGAUCCAGCCAUGCCGCGUGAGUGAAGAAGGCCUUCGGGUUGUAAAGCUCUUUCGGCCGGGAAGAAAUCGCAUGGGCCAAUACCCUGUGUGGAUGACGGUACCGGAAUAAGAAGCACCGGCUAACUACGUGCCAGCAGCCGCGGUAAUACGUAGGGUGCGAGCGUUAAUCGGAAUUACUGGGCGUAAAGCGUGCGCAGGCGGUUUUGUAAGACAGGCGUGAGAUCCCCGGGCUUAACCUGGGAACUGCGUUUGUGACUGCAAGGCUAGAGUACGGCAGAGGGGGGUGGAAUUCCACGUGUAGCAGUGAAAUGCGUAGAGAUGUGGAGGAACACCAAUGGCGAAGGCAGCCCCCUGGGUCGAUACUGACGCUCAUGCACGAAAGCGUGGGUAGCAAACGGGAUUAGAUACCCUGGUAGUCCACGCCCUAAACUAUGUCAACUAGGUGUUGGGUGGGUAAAACCAUUUAGUACCGUAGCUAACGCGUGAAGUUGACCGCCUGGGGAGUACGGCCGCAAGGUUAAAACUCAAAGGAAUUGACGGGGACCCGCACAAGCGGUGGAUGGUGUGGAUUAAUUCGAUGCAACGCGAAAAACCUUACCUACCCUUGACAUGCCAGGGACUUGCCAGAGAUGGCUUGGUGCCCGAAAGGGAGCCUGGACACAGGUGCUGCAUGGCUGUCGUCAGCUCGUGUCGUGAGAUGUUGGGUUAAGUCCCGCAACGAGCGCAACCCUUGUCGUUAAUUGCCAUCAUUUAGUUGGGCACUUUAACGAGACUGCCGGUGACAAACCGGAGGAAGGUGGGGAUGACGUCAAGUCCUCAUGGCCCUUAUGGGUAGGGCUUCUCACGUCAUACAAUGUCGGUACAAAGGGUUGCCAAGCCGCGAGGCGGAGCCAAUCCCAGAAAGCCGAUCGUAGUCCGGAUUGCAGGCUGCAACUCGCCUGCAUGAAGUCGGAAUCGCUAGUAAUCGUGGAUCAGCAUGUCACGGUGAAUACGUUCCCGGGUCUUGUACACACCGCCCGUCACACCAUGGGAGCGGGUUCCGCCAGAAGUAGGUAGCCUAACCGCAAGGGGGGCGCUUACC